CCAGUCUUCAGAGGACUCCAAGGAACAUUCAACGCUGUCGGUGAGUUUGGGAUUUGAAAAAACCACCGACCGUUGACUGUACCUUGGGUUCCUUA
ensembl:miRNA MIR181A2 microRNA 181a-2